rnacentral:lncRNA from 1 species
UCGAAAGUCAUCAGCAGCAAGACAGACAUUGUCGAUCUGCAGAACCACGCAAGCAUUGUCCACAGUAUUUGCGAAGAUCUGAGCCCUCAGAUCCUUGAUGGUCUUGAAAUAAUGUCCCCAGUCUCUGACCUGGGGUCCCUUCUUCUCCAGAUGCUCCCGGAUUUUGCUCUCCAGCUUCUGGUUCUCUGUCUUCAGAUUCGGGGAAGCAGAGACCUACAAAGAAGUCUGCCUUCAAAGACCCUGGCCUGACUCCAUUUGAGAGAGGAAAUUGACCCACAUGUGGGAGGACUGUCCUGAGGCUCCUGUGAGGCCAGGCCAAGAAACUUUAAGAUGGCCAAGAAACCUUGAGAUGGCCAAGAACGCUUUCUCCUGUCAGCUAAGAUUGCCCUCAGAGUUCUGGUUUCCUGUCUGAGGACCUACAUCUUCUUUCAGCCAUUGGCUGGACAGAUGUGGUCUACCCACAGGGCUGUGGUCUCAGCCUUGCAAGCCUCUAUGGAAUAACCACAUUAGAACAUGAUGUGCGUAGGAAAAAUUAUCAAUGUAUAUAAUGGUGAUAAUAUAAUUUUGAAGUCCCUCAACUUGCUGGCUUCUUUUACAUGUUCUUAUACUUACCUUUCCCCCAAUCUUUAGAGGUUUCCAAUUGUCUCAGGGAGGUUUAGGAUUGUUACAGAGGGAAUGCAAAAAAAAAAAAAAGAGAGAGAGAGAGAAAAGAAAAAGAGGAAAACACAGUUAAUUAUCAACUUCUAAAUAGGAUCUGGGGGCUUUUUGGCCAGGUAGUAACUUAAAAGCUAGGCUUUGUAAGAGAGAGAAAAAAUGUUCUAGAUUCCUUGAUCUUGGAGGUUUUUGUUUGUUUGUUUGUUUUGUUUUGUUUUGUUUUUGAGAUGGAGUUUCACUCUUGUUGCCCAGGCUGGAGUGCAAUGGCACAAUCUUGGUUCACUGCAACCUCCGCCUCCCGGGUUCAAGUUAUUCUCCUGCCUCAGCCUCCUGAGUAGCUGAGAUUACAGGCGCACGCUACCACACCCAGCUAA